rnacentral:rRNA from 1 species
CCUACGUGAGGCAGUAGUGAGGAAUAUUGGUCAAUGGGCGCGAGCCUGAACCAGCCAAGUAGCGUGAAGGAUGACUGCCCUACGGGUUGUAAACUUCUUUUAUAAAGGAAUAAAGUGAGGCACGUGUGCCUUUUUGUAUGUACUUUAUGAAUAAGGAUCGGCUAACUCCGUGCCAGCAGCCGCGGUAAUACGGAGGAUCCGAGCGUUAUCCGGAUUUAUUGGGUUUAAAGGGAGCGUAGAUGGGUUGUUAAGUCAGUUGUGAAAGUUUGCGGCUCAACCGUAAAAUUGCAAUUGAUACUGGCAGUCUUGAGUACAGUUGAGGUAGGCGGAAUUCGUGGUGUAGCGGUGAAAUGCUUAGAUAUCACGAAGAACUCCGAUUGCGAAGGCAGCUUACUAAACUGCCACUGACAUUGAUGCUCGAAAGUGUGGGUAUCAAACAGGAUUAGAUACCCUAGUAGUC